AUGAUUGUACCUACCAAAUUUAUAUUGAUACUAGCUUCUUCAUAAAGAUUCUCAGAAGAGGUAAUUUAAGUCUUUCUUGCAUUGUUUUUAUAGUCAUAAAAUAACCUUAACUAAUAAUAUACUUUCUCCUUUGUCUAAAUUAAAAAACCCCCCUGCUUGAAUUUAAGCCUUUCCUUUUCAUUUCAUCGUUUGAAGAUACUAUUGAUUUUGAUGGCAAAUCAUGGAAUGAAUUUUAUACCUAUGUUAGUCACUCGAAGUGUUUGGUAAUUUAGUUUACCAUAUUUUAGUCUAACAUAGAAACACAAUCUAAUAUUUUUGAAUUCUCUUUCGUUAAGGCAUUGUGUCCAGAUCUGGCACCCUGACUUAUGAAGCAGUUCACCAAACAACGCAAGUUGGAUUGGGGCAGUCUUUGUGCGUUGGCAUUGGAGGUGAUCCUUUUAAUGGAACAGAUUUUAUUGACUGCCUCGAAAUCUUUUUGAACGAUUCUGCCACAGAAGGCAUCAUAUUGAUUGGUGAAAUUGGUGGUAAUGCAGAAGAGAAUGCUGCAGAAUUUUUGAAGCAACAUAAUUCAGGUCCAAAUUCCAAGCCUGUAGUGUCCUUCAUUGCUGGUUUAACUGCUCCUCCUGGGAGAAGAAUGGGUCAUGCCGGGGCAAUUAUUGCUGGAGGAAAAGGUGGAGCUAAAGAGAAGAUCUCUGCCCUUCAGAGUGCAGGAGUUGUGGUCAGUAUGUCUCCUGCACAGCUGGGAACCACGAUCUACAAGG
rnacentral:sRNA from 1 species